rnacentral:rRNA from 1 species
AUCCAGUGGGGGGGAGCCUACCAUGCAAGUCGAGCGGUAACAGAAAGUAGCUUGCUACUUUGCUGACGAGCGGCGGACGGGUGAGUAAUGCUUGGGAACAUGCCUUGAGGUGGGGGACAACAGUUGGAAACGACUGCUAAUACCGCAUAAUGUCUACGGACCAAAGGGGGCUUCGGCUCUCGCCUUUAGAUUGGCCCAAGUGGGAUUAGCUAGUUGGUGAGGUAAUGGCUCACCAAGGCGACGAUCCCUAGCUGGUUUGAGAGGAUGAUCAGCCACACUGGGACUGAGACACGGCCCAGACUCCUACGGGAGGCAGCAGUGGGGAAUAUUGCACAAUGGGCGCAAGCCUGAUGCAGCCAUGCCGCGUGUGUGAAGAAGGCCUUCGGGUUGUAAAGCACUUUCAGUCAGGAGGAAAGGUUAGUAGUUAAUACCUGCUAGCUGUGACGUUACUGACAGAAGAAGCACCGGCUAACUCCGUGCCAGCAGCCGCGGUAAUACGGAGGGUGCGAGCGUUAAUCGGAAUUACUGGGCGUAAAGCGUACGCAGGCGGUUUGUUAAGCGAGAUGUGAAAGCCCCGGGCUCAACCUGGGAACUGCAUUUCGAACUGGCAAACUAGAGUGUGAUAGAGGGUGGUAGAAUUUCAGGUGUAGCGGUGAAAUGCGUAGAGAUCUGAAGGAAUACCGAUGGCGAAGGCAGCCACCUGGGUCAACACUGACGCUCAUGUACGAAAGCGUGGGGAGCAAACGGGAUUAGAUACCCCGGUAGUCCACGCCGUAAACGAUGUCUACUAGAAGCUCGGAGCCUCGGUUCUGUUUUUCAAAGCUAACGCAUUAAGUAGACCGCCUGGGGAGUACGGCCGCAAGGUUAAAACUCAAAUGAAUUGACGGGGGCCCGCACAAGCGGUGGAGCAUGUGGUUUAAUUCGAUGCAACGCGAAGAACCUUACCUACACUUGACAUACAGAGAACUUACCAGAGAUGGUUUGGUGCCUUCGGGAACUCUGAUACAGGUGCUGCAUGGCUGUCGUCAGCUCGUGUUGUGAGAUGUUGGGGUUAAGUCCCGCAACGAGCGCAACCCCUAUCCUUA